CAGUACCGUGAGGGAAAGGCGAAAAGAACCCCGGCGAGGGGAGUGAAAAAGAACCUGAAACCGUGUACGUACAAGCAGUGGGAGCCUCUUAAUGGGGUGACUGCGUACCUUUUGUAUAAUGGGUCAGCGACUUAUAUUCUGUAGCAAGGUUAACCGAAUAGGGGAGCCGAAGGGAAACCGAGUCUUAACUGGGCGUUAAGUUGCAGGGUAUAGACCCGAAACCCGGUGAUCUAGCCAUGGGCAGGUUGAAGGUUGGGUAACACUAACUGGAGGACCGAACCGACUAAUGUUGAAAAAUUAGCGGAUGACUUGUGGCUGGGGGUGAAAGGCCAAUCAAACCGGGAGAUAGCUGGUUCUCCCCGAAAGCUAUUUAGGUAGCGCCUCGUGAAUUCAUCUCCGGGGGUAGAGCACUGUUUCGGCAAGGGGGUCAUCCCGACUUACCAACCCGAUGCAAACUGCGAAUACCGGAGAAUGUUAUCACGGGAGACACACGGCGGGUGCUAACGUCCGUCGUGAAGAGGGAAACAACCCAGACCGCCAGCUAAGGUCCCAAAGUCAUGGUUAAGUGGGAAACGAUGUGGGAAGGCCCAGACAGCCAGGAUGUUGGCUUAGAAGCAGCCAUCAUUUAAAGAAAGCGUAAUAGCUCACUGGUCGAGUCGGCCUGCGCGGAAGAUGUAACGGGGCUAAACCAUGCACCGAAGCUGCGGCAGCGACACUAUGUGUUGUUGGGUAGGGGAGCGUUCUGUAAGCCUGCGAAGGUGUACUGUGAGGUAUGCUGGAGGUAUCAGAAGUGCGAAUGCUGACAUAAGUAACGAUAAAGCGGGUGAAAAGCCCGCUCGCCGGAAGACCAAGGGUUCCUGUCCAACGUUAAUCGGGGCAGGGUGAGUCGACCCCUAAGGCGAGGCCGAAAGGCGUAGUCGAUGGGAAACAGGUUAAUAUUCCUGUACUUGGUGUUACUGCGAAGGGGGGACGGAGAAGGCUAUGUUGGCCGGGCGACGGUUGUCCCGGUUUAAGCGUGUAGGCUGGUUUUCCAGGCAAAUCCGGAAAAUCAAGGCUGAGGCGUGAUGACGAGGCACUACGGUGCUGAAGCAACAAAUGCCCUGCUUCCAGGAAAAGCCUCUAAGCAUCAGGUAACAUCAAAUCGUACCCCAAACCGACACAGGUGGUCAGGUAGAGAAUACCAAGGCGCUUGAGAGAACUCGGGUGAAGGAACUAGGCAAAAUGGUGCCGUAACUUCGGGAGAAGGCACGCUGAUAUGUAGGUGAAGUCCCUCGCGGAUGGAGCUGAAAUCAGUCGAAGAUACCAGCUGGCUGCAACUGUUUAUUAAAAACACAGCACUGUGCAAACACGAAAGUGGACGUAUACGGUGUGACGCCUGCCCGGUGCCGGAAGGUUAAUUGAUGGGGUUAGCGGUAACGCGAAGCUCUUGAUCGAAGCCCCGGUAAACGGCGGCCGUAACUAUAACGGUCCUAAGGUAGCGAAAUUCCUUGUCGGGUAAGUUCCGACCUGCACGAAUGGCGUAAUGAUGGCCAGGCUGUCUCCACCCGAGACUCAGUGAAAUUGAACUCGCUGUGAAGAUGCAGUGUACCCGCGGCAAGACGGAAAGACCCCGUGAACCUUUACUAUAGCUUGACACUGAACAUUGAGCCUUGAUGUGUAGGAUAGGUGGGAGGCUUUGAAGUGUGGACGCCAGUCUGCAUGGAGCCGACCUUGAAAUACCACCCUUUAAUGUUUGAUGUUCUAACGUUGGCCCCUAAUCGGGGUUGCGGACAGUGUCUGGUGGGUAGUUUGACUGGGGCGGUCUCCUCCUAAAGAGUAACGGAGGAGCACGAAGGUUGGCUAAUCCUGGUCGGACAUCAGGAGGUUAGUGCAAUGGCAUAAGCCAGCUUGACUGCGAGCGUGACGGCGCGAGCAGGUGCGAAAGCAGGUCAUAGUGAUCCGGUGGUUCUGAAUGGAAGGGCCAUCGCUCAACGGAUAAAAGGUACUCCGGGGAUAACAGGCUGA
rnacentral:rRNA from 1 species